AUUGAACGCUGGCGGCAUGCCUUACACAUGCAAGUCGAACGGCAGCACGGGUGCUUGCACCUGGUGGCGAGUGGCGAACGGGUGAGUAAUACAUCGGAACGUACCUUAUCGUGGGGGAUAACGCAGCGAAAGCUGUGCUAAUACCGCAUACGCCCUGAGGGGGAAAGCGGGGGAUCGAAAGACCUCGCGCGAUUAGAGCGGCCGAUGCCUGAUUAGCUUGUUGGUGGGGUAAAAGCCCACCAAGGCGACGAUCAGUAGCUGGUCUGAGAGGACAGACAGCCACACGGGGACUGAGACACGGCCCAGACUCCUACGGGAGGCAGCAGUGGGGAAUUUUGGACAAUGGGGGCAACCCUGAUCCAGCAAUGCCGCGUGAGUGAAGAAGGCCUUCGGGUUGUAAAGCUCUUUUGUCAGGGAAGAAACACCGGCUCUAACACAGUCCGGGAAUGACGGUACCUGAAGAAUAAGCACCGGCUAACUACGUGCCAGCCGCCGCCGUAA
rnacentral:rRNA from 1 species